UACGAGGGGGGGCAAAUGUUGUUCGGAAUCACUGGGCGUAAAGGGAGCGUAGGCGGGUUUCUAAGUCAGGUGUUUAAUCCCGGGGCCCAACCCCGGACAGGCACUUGAAACUGGGAAUCUUGAAUAGUGGAGAGGUCAGUGGAAUUGGGGGGUGUAGCGGUGGAAUGCGCAGAUAUCAGGAGGAACACCGGUGGCGAAGGCGGGUCUCUGGGCAGUGAACUGACGCUGAGGAGCGAAAGCGUGGGGAGCGAACAGG
rnacentral:rRNA from 1 species